rnacentral:ncRNA from 1 species
UGAUUUUUGAGAGAGCCCUCUUCUAGUACGAGAGGACCGAAGACGGGGGAAUCCCUGGUGUAUCAGUUGUCCGAAAAAGGGCAUUGCUGAGUAGCUAUAUUCCUUUGUGAUAAGUACUGAAAGCAUAUCAAGUACGAAGCACAUCUCAAGAUUAAAAAUCUUUUAGUUCCCCUGUAGAUGACAGGGUAUAUAGGUACCAGGUGUAAGUGUAGCAAUACAUUUAGCCGAGGUAUACUAAUGAACGAU